rnacentral:rRNA from 1 species
UACGUAGGGCGCAAGCGUUAUCCGGAAUUAUUGGGCGUAAAGAGCUCGUAGGCGGUCUGUCGCGUCUGCUGUGAAAAUCAGGGCUCAACCCUGGACCUGCAGUGGGUACGGGCAGACUAGAGUGCGGUAGGGGAGAUCGGAAUUCCUGGUGUAGCGGUGAAAUGCGCAGAUAUCAGGAGGAACACCGGUGGCGAAGGCGGAUCUCUGGGCCGUAACUGACGCUGACGGAGCGAAAGCAUGGGGAGCGAACAGGA